rnacentral:misc_RNA from 1 species
GAUGAAGAACGCAGCGAAACGCGAUAUGUAAUGUGAAUUGCAGAAUUCAGAGAAUCAUCGAAUCUUUGAACGCACAUGGCGCCUUCCAGUAUCCUGGGAGGCAUGCCUGUCCGAGCGUCGUUUCAACCCUCGAGCCCCCGUGGCCCGGCGUUGGGGAUCUGCCCAGGCAGUCCCCGAAAACCAGUGGCGGACCCGUUACAGGCCCUUCCCUUGCGUAGUAGCAUUCGCCUCGCAUCGGGAGCCGGCGGGCUUCCAGCCUCUAAACCCCCAUCAAGUCCGCCCCGGCGGCACCAAGGUUGACCUCGGAUCAGGUAGGAAUACCCGCUGAACUUAAGCAUAUCAAUAAGCGGAGGA